GGCGUCUGUAGCUCAGCUGGAUAGAGCUCCCUCUAGUAAAGGGAAGGUCGGGGGUUCGAGUCCCCCCAGAAUUCG
rnacentral:tRNA from 1 species